UACGAAGGGGCUAGCGUUGUUCGGAAUUACUGGGCGUAAAGCGUGUGUAGGCGGCCUUAUAAGUCGGAUGUGAAAGCCCCGGGCUCAACCCGGGAAGUGACACUCGAUUACUGUGAGGCUCGAGUAUCGGAGAGGUUGGUGGAAUUCUCGGUGUAAGAGGUGAAAUUCGUAGAUAGUCGAAGAGGAACACCGGUGGCGAAAGCGGCCAACUGGACGAAUACUGACGCUGAGACACGAAAGCGUGGGGAGCAAACAGG
rnacentral:rRNA from 1 species